AAUAGAUACCCGUGGUAGUCCACGCCGUAAACGGUGGGCGCUAGGUGUGGGGGACUUUCCACGUCCUCUGUGCCGCAGCUAACGCAUUAAGCGCCCCGCCUGGGGAGUACGGCCGCAAGGCUAAAACUCAAAGGAAUUGACGGGGGGGCCCGCACAAGCGGCGGAGCAUGUGGCUUAAUUCGACGCAACGCGAGGAACCUUACCAAGGCUUGACAUGCAGGGAAAUCUCGUAGAGAUACGGGGUCCGCAAGGGCUCUGCACAGGUGGUGCAUGGUUGUCGUCAGCUCGUGUCGUGAGAUGUUGGGUUAAGUCCCGCAACGAGCGCAACCCUUGUCCUAUGUUGCCAGCGAGUAAUGUCGGGGGACUCAUAGGGAGACUGCCGGGGGUCAACGUCGGAGGAAGGUGGGGAUGACGUCAAAUCAUCAUGCCCCUUAUGUCUUGGGCUGCACACAUGCUACAAUGGUCGGUACAAAGGGCUGCGAGACCGCAAGGUGGAGCGAAUCCCGAAAAAGCCGGCCUCAGUUCGGAUUGGGGU
rnacentral:rRNA from 1 species